GACAAUGAAAGUGAAUCAGCUGAUCACAUCUAUGCUAAUAUUAAACUGAAAUCUAAGAAAGAAAUGAAGAAAAAGAAGAAAUACAAGAAAGAUGAUAAAGACACAAGUGCAGACAAUGUAAGUGAAGCAGCUGAUCACAUCUAUGCUAAUAUUGAAUUGAAACCAAAGAAAGAAAUGAAGAAAAAGAAGAAAUACAAGAAAG